rnacentral:rRNA from 1 species
UAAUACGAAGGGGGCAAGCGUUGUUCGGAAUUACUGGGCGUAAAGGGUGUGUAGGUGGAUUUAUAAGAUAGCGGUGAAAUCCCGGGGCUUAACCUCGGAAUUGCCAUUAUAACUAUAGGUCUAGAAUCAUGGAGAGGAUAGUGGAAUACCCAGUGUAGAGGUGAAAUUCGUAGAUAUUGGGUAGAACACCAGAGGCGAAGGCGACUAUCUGGCCAUGUAUUGACACUGAGGCACGAAAGCAUGGGGAUCAAACAGG